rnacentral:rRNA from 1 species
GAUUAGCCUUUUACAGACUUUCCGCCAGAGAACUACAAGUGAAAAACUUGAAACUCAAAGGACUUGACGGUGUCCCACAUCGACCUAGAGGAGCCUGUCCUAUAAUCGAUAUUCCCCGCUCCACCCAACCCCAACUAGCAUAUGUCAGCCUAUAUACCGCCGUCGAUCAGCCUACCCUAUGAAGGUCCAACAGUAGACACAAUAGCCCCUUCGCUAAUACGUCAGGUCAAGGUGUAGCAAAUGUUGGGGAAGAGAUUGGCUACAUUUUUUAUAAUAAAAAAUACGAAAAACACUAUGAAACCGUGCAUGAAGGUGAAUUUAGUAGUAAAAUAAAUAAGAGACUUUAUUUUAAUAGCGCUCUGGGACGCGUACACACCGCCC